AUUCACAUACAUCCCAUGACACACAUUACUGGUAGAUAUUACUAACGCCAAAAUUCUUUUUCCCUCGAAAGAAGAUGGAAGACUACACUUCCCAGGACGCUUGCAUUCUUGCCAAUUAACUGAGACGGAAAGCACCAUCUACCUUUCCAAAUGACAGCAAUGAAAAGACGCUGGGUAAUUCUCCAGAGCCCCCAUUCUAUUCCUGAUAAGACCAAUGACUGCAGGGGUGAUAAAGGCUGAUUUGUUUACGUAACAGUGGAAACGACUUUGUAAUGCAUAUCAUCCUUCCAGUAAAUUUCUCAACUAUCUCCAAGAUUAUACUUUUAAAUGCAAGUUGAAUCAUCAUAAUCCACUCCUUAAGAUCUCCAGCUAAAAUCAAGAGCUGGCAGCUCUCCACAUUUUGACUGUCUCCUAGAGAAGAAUAAACACUGUGCCUGGAGCAACACUGAUUCUUCUGACUACACAGCACCAUGUGACUUGGGUGAACUGUUAGAUCCGUCAGUGAACAGAAUGACAUCUCCAUACCUUGAUGAAAAUACUGCCGUUGUAAUAAUUAAGCUCUUCCUUCAUUUUUUUCCCACUUAAUAACAAGACCCCUAUUCUCGCUCUUCCCCGAGAAAAGAAGUUACAGGAAAAUUGUGGGAUAGAAUUAAAAUAUUUUCUUGAAUCUAUGAAUAGGAGACCAUCUUUAAGUAAGAUGAAUUGUGAAGAGAGAUGAGUUGUCUUCUCUGUAAAUAAGACUCGGGAAAUGAGUACUGUGUUGAACUACAAAGUAGCAGGACUUUUAUACGCUAAAGGCACAAAAUGGUUACCCCAUGAGGCAUGAUUAAGAACUGUGACUGGAAGUUGACAUAACAGGGAUCUAAUCGAUUUCAUUUCCUGGAUACAGAACAUCU
rnacentral:lncRNA from 1 species